rnacentral:tRNA from 1 species
GUAUGGAUGGUAUAGUAGUAAGCAUGGCUGCCUGACAAGCAGUUGAUUCAGGUUUGAUUCCUAGCCUAUGCA